CUUCACUGCUGCUGAACAAACAGAAGCUGAAAUGAGAGCUGCCUUCUUUAACACGGUUUUUAUUAUCUGCUUCCUUGUUUCCUUUCGAUUGCCAGUAAAUAAUGGAGCCUCUGACUCCAAAGACGUCGACCAAAUUCCUCAUUCCAUUAUUAAGAAAAUUGGUGAAUCUGUGGACAAAGAGAUCAGAUGUUCACACAGCAUACCGAGCUACCAAGUCAUUCUGUGGUACAAACAAGACAAGCAUAAAGCUCUGAAGCUCCUGGGAUAUCAGAAUAAUGACUUUGCUAAUCUUGAACAAGAUGUGAAAGGGAAAAUAAACUUUGAAGGAGAUGGGCGCAAACAAUCCAUCCUCACUGUUUCUAAUCUCACAGUAGACGACAGUGCUGUGUAUUUCUGUGCUGCCAGUCAACACAGUGCAGCAGAAUCCCAUGAAGUCAAUACAAAAACUCUGCAGAAAGAGAGAGAACACCUGGAGUCAGCCUCCAUGUCAGACUCAGACCAAUCAAAAAGAAAAGAAUCAUCAUAA